GCCCAGACUCCUACGGGAGGCAGCAGUGGGGAAUAUUGGGCAAUGGGCGCAAGCCUGACCCAGCAACGCCGCGUGAAGGAAGAAGGCUUUCGGGCUGUAAACUUCUUUUAUGAGGGACGAAGGAAGUGACGGUACCUCAUGAAUAAGCCACGGCUAACUACGUGCCGGCAGCCGCGGUAAUACGUAGGUGGCGAGCGUUAUCCGGAUUUACUGGGUGUAAAGGGCGUGUAGGCGGGAUUGCAAGUCAGAUGUGAAAACUAUGGGCUCAACCCAUAGCCUGCAUUUGAAACUGUAGUUCUUGAGUGCUGGAGAGGCAAUCGGAAUUCCGUGUGUAGCGGUGAAAUGCGUAGAUAUACGGAGGAACACCAGUGGCGAAGGCGGAUUGCUGGACAGUAACUGACGCUGAGGCGCGAAAGCGUGGGGAGCAAACAGGAUUAGAUACCCGUGUACC
rnacentral:rRNA from 1 species